rnacentral:sRNA from 2 species
UGCACUGACCCGGUCCUUUUUUAAAUCUAUGAACCAUCUUCGUUUCUCUCCCUUCUCCAGUUACAUAAUUCCCAUCAGCUGCUGAUUGGUGGUCCUUACAUGUAUUCGUUGGCUGUUGCAGAGCGCCAGCCGCUGUGAGCUCACUGACAGGUUCUAUAAAUGCUUCCCGACCCACAGCAUCCUGGGUGGUCUACUCGGUAUGACUAUGGUUCCCGCUGACGGGAUGACAACUGGUCUAGCCGAACUCAGCAGAUAUGACUUCUAUGGAAUUGGCUGGUCAUUGUUGAGCUGAUUCUCAAUGACUGGGUUACCGAGUUGCCGUGAUGUUGUGUCCGUCAAGCGUCAAACAUAACUACGGCGUAAGAGAAUAUCAACUUGCGCCCUGGCAUUCCAUUGC